GUGGAUUAGAUACCCUGGUAGUCCACGCCGUAAACUAUGGAUGCUAGCUGUAAGAGGUAUCGACCCCUCUUGUAGCGAAGCUAACGCGUUAAGCAUCCCGCCUGUGGAGUACGAGCGCAAGCUUAAAACAUAAAGGAAUUGACGGGGACCCGCACAAGCGGUGGAGCGUGUUGUUUAAUUCGAUGGUAAGCGAAGAACCUUACCCAGGUUUGACAUCUUCGGAAGGCUUCCGAAAGGAAACUGUGCCGUAAGGAACCGAAUGACAGGUGAUGCACGGCUGUCGUCAACU
rnacentral:rRNA from 1 species